GACGAACGCUGGCGGCGUGCUUAACACAUGCAAGUCGAACGAAGUGGCGAACGGGUGAGUAACGCGUAAUAAACCUGCCCUUCAGAGGGGGACAAAAGUGGAAAACGUAUGCUAAUACCCAAUACUGAAGGACUGGAUGGCGUGGGAUUAGCUAGUUGGGGGGGUAACGGCCCACCAAGGCGAUGAUCAGUAGCCGGUCUGAGAGGAUGAACGGCCAAAUUGGGACUGAGACACGGCCCAGACUCCUACGGGAGGCAGCAGUUGGGAAACUUCCGCAAUGGACGAAAGUCUGACGGAGCAACGCCGCGUGAGUGAUGACGGCCUUCGGGUUGUAAAGCUCUGUUAAUCGGGACGCGGUACCGGAAUAGAAAGCCACGGCUAACUACGUGCCAGCAGCCGCGGUAAUUC
rnacentral:rRNA from 1 species